rnacentral:rRNA from 1 species
GAUGAACGCUGGCGGCGUGCCUAAUGCAUGCAAGUCGAACGCGCAGCGAAAGGUGCUUGCACCUUUCAAGCGAGUGGCGAACGGGUGAGUAACACGUGGAUAACCUGCCUCAAGGCUGGGGAUAACAUUUGGAAACAGAUGCUAAUACCGAAUAAAACUUAGUAUCGCAUGAUACAAAGUUAAAAGGCGCUACGGCGUCACCUAGAGAUGGAUCCGCGGUGCAUUAGUUAGUUGGUGGGGUAAAGGCUUACCAAGACGAUGAUGCAUAGCCGAGUGGAGAGACUGAUCGGCCACAUUGGGACUGAGACACGGCCCAAACUCCUACGGGAGGCUGCAGUAGGGAAUCUUCCACAAUGGGCGCAAGCCUGAUGGAGCAACGCCGCGUGUGUGAUGAAGGCUUUCGGGUCGUAAAGCACUGUUGUAUGGGAAGAAAUGCUAAAAUAGGGAAUGAUUUUAGUUUGACGGUACCAUACCAGAAAGGGACGGCUAAAUACGUGCCAGCAGCCGCGGUAA